rnacentral:rRNA from 1 species
UUCGGGGGUCAACGGACAGAGCCCGUGAAUCCGGGCCGGCGAAUUCAGGACCGGUGGUGCUCUUGUAGGUGCUGCCGUCGGUUUGAUUUUUCGUCGGCCGCGGACGUUGCGACCCGUUUGGUGCUGGUUUUAAGGGCCGACGUUCAGUUCGACCAGUUUGAUUGUUUCGGCGGAUCAGUUUGGCGAUGCGUCAGUUCCGAGCUAGCUAGCCCGACGGUAUGAAUGGUGUCCGGCGAUGGGGACUUGUCCUGAUCGUCGGUACCGGUCGGUAACGAUUAUUCGGGCCUCUUUCCGACCCGUCUUGAAACACGGACCAAGGAGUCUAACGUGUGCGCGAGUCAUAGGGUGUCGCCGACUGGUGCGCAAGCAUCAGUCGGCGUUAACAAACGAAACCCGACUAGGCGAAAUGAAAGUAAUUUCGGCACAUAUGGGAAGAUAGCGUUCCGAGUACACGUUCUAGACUCGAUCUAGACCGGACGUUCGCAUUCCCGGGGCGUCCCUUCAGUCCGGCGGUGUACUACUUCGGUGGUGCGCCGUUGAACUGGGGCGCACUCGUAGCGUACACGUUGGUACCCGAAAGAUGGUGAACUAUGCCCGGCCAGGAUGAAGUCAGGGGAAACCCUGAUGGAGGUCCGCAGCGAUUCUGACGUGCAAAUCGAUCGUCUGAGCUGGGUAUA